rnacentral:lncRNA from 1 species
CUUCGAUUGGUCCGUCUGGCUCUUACUCUGAGAGACGUUCGGGCCCGCGAGGCUCUGGACUCACGUUUGAAUUUGUGGCGCGUAGUGUCCGAGGUGCGGAGUGGAGCUGGGCGUCUUGCUGGAGUCAGCAACUGGGCGGUGAGAGACCCUGAGCGGAGAAUGACCAGAGGGUCGGCCGGCGCUGGAGGGGCCCCGAGUCCAACAGGCCUCCUCGGAAUGCGGCACUUCCACCGCGCUGCUUCCCUCGCCUGAGGCAGGUCCUCUGCUCGCCUCCUCGCAGCCUCUAGAUUCUUCCCUCGCGCCGUUUUCCUCGCGUCUGAGAGACUGUGCGCCCGCCCGCUUCUGUCACCCCCGAAGGAAGGCUGCUCCUAACGCUACCUUCCGGGGUCUCUCCGCUUCCAUCCCUCCCCAGAAGCAGCCCUCCAGCGCUGACGUGUUUACGUCUCCCCCCACUAUCCUGCGCCCCCCCAUCUCUGUCAUAAUUACAGCCUCCUUCCAUCACCAACACUCUCAGAAACUUUCUCCCUGCCUCUGACUGUGGAAAAAUGUCUCCUGAGCAACCUGGUGAGCGUCCCACACCUCAGAGUCCAGAACGUUCCUCAUCAAGAAAGAGGGUGCUGCGGUCCUCCCCUUCCCGCCUGGGACGUAGCGAGGGCACGUGGAAAGCAGCGCGUGAAAGCGCUUUGCAAAGCGGUACGGAAAUGUAAGUUACUUGUUGCAGUUGCUGACUCUGGAUGAUGGUGGAUUCAUCUCGAAAACAUGAUUAUUUUAUUCUUGGUCAGACUCUGUUGAUAUAGAGAAGUUUCGUCUUGGGGUUAUGACUGCUGUCCAGAUCUUAAAGCAAGAAAGCCGGAGGUAUUGUCUCCAUUUUACAAAUGAGGAACCUGAAGCUCAGAGAGAGUUCCAAAGGAAACCUCAAGUCCGGUAUAAGCAAAACAAUUCAUGAACAAAAUGGCUGUGAGCACAUUUCAUUUGCAAGACAGCACUAGAGGGCGCUCUUCAGCAGGUCUCAAGAUUAAGAAGCAAUAUCCUGAGAUACAUCUUUCUCUGAUAGAAAUUUUGUCUUGGGAAAAGCUUUGACCAGAUCGUAGUGACAGAAAUGAGAGGCUGGGCCAGUCUUUGGCGCCUGCCCUUGGCUCAGCGCCCGGUGCCAACAGAACACCUUUCAGGAUCCACAGCAACGCAGACAACGAGUCCAGGAUCCCGGCCUCUGCUUGGAACGGAACAGUGUCAUGGCGGAGACGACGGCCUUUGUCUUGCUGGGUGUGAAAGCAUCCGCUUUGCAGGCUCCACUGCGGCAGAAUCAAGUUUAAAGGAAAAAGUGAUUAAAGUCAGCUUUGUGCCUCUUUGGUGUGGAAGACCCCCAAACCCCAAGUAGCCGAGUCCCUGGGUCCGAGGAAGGGCUCAUAGUUGGAGCAGCCUAGGCUGUAAUCCUGGCACUUGCGCCUUCGGUUGCUGCUUGCUGUUCGCUCCUGGGGGUCUGGAUAAUCUCCCUUGGCUUUACCGCACUGUCUGGCCCGCAUACAGGGCCCCCGUAACAUAUACCCGCUGCUGCUAUCGCACGAAACUGUGGCGUUGCCCCUGAAUGGAUGGCACUGUGCCAACUCUUCUGCCAUCCGCCCUUGCAGCUUUUUUCUUUCCUGCCUCCCUCCCCUUCUUCUCCUCCUCCUCCCGUCGACUUGACGUUAAUUAACACACGGGUUAAUUGAUUUUAAAAGCCGAAGAAUUACAGUUAACUUUUCCCACAGGGUACAGACGCCAGCCGCUUGGCACACUCUGCCUUUCGCACUGGUGCAGGGGGGCAGGGAGAGCCCGCAGCAAACCUAGCAACUGCUGAGGGAACGUUGCCUGCUUAUUGGAGUAGCGCCGAUAGAAGUCGACGUGGCACUGCCUCGUCCUUACCGUAUGGAGAGCCAUUCUAUAUUUUGUUAAAUAAUCAAAGCACAACCCUGUCUUUCUUCUUCUCCUUUCCUCGUUCAAAACAGGAAAACCCUUCAGAAGUUCUUAUGGGGAAAAAAUAUCCCUCCCCCAAACUAUUUAUCUCAUCCAUAAUAUGCUUUUUUUCCAAUAAGAAGAAAAUACGUGAUGCCUGUUUUUUUUUAAUUACAAGAAGGAAAGCUACUCUUUCCCUAAACAUCACAGGCAAAGAAGAUUUUUUUAAAGAAAAAGUUCCAUAAAGUUUCUUUCUCUAUAUCUCAGUAUUUUGUUUUGUUUCUAUUCCCCUUGACUCAGAUGGGUUAUUUAUGGUGAAAGAUUUCAGUAAGAAA